UGAAUAAUUGAUUGGGUUUCUAGGGUCGUCAUCUGGGCCCCACCCUGUGGAGCUUUGAGCUGGUUCAACUUCUCCAGGUGGUUUGUCCGGGGUCCCCAAAAGCGUCACGGUGACUGGCUGCAUCAGCAUCACCAGGGGCUGAUCCCAUCACCUGAAUCUGAGCCUCUGGGAAAAACCCAGGAAUCUGUAUUUUUGAUGAUGGAGUUCUUCCCGAGUCUGACUGCAAGCCCUCCUGCUUUAAUUGAGCACGUUUUCUUCAUUUGGGUUUUCUAUGGGAUAAUGAGCCUGUUUGAAGACAGCUGUUCUGCCUCCUUUGACCUUUCUCAGGACACCUGUUUCCCUUGUUCAACUUCUGAAUCCAGCAGACCCACUUGUUUGGGCCAAAUGAAGAAAACCAGAGAGGCUCCCCAAGUACUGGAUGCUGGAGAAUCCCAGCAAAGGGAAAGGAAAAAACCUGCAGCGUCACCCCACGCCCGAGGAGACUGUCUUCCCUUUCUUGGCCUUGACCCUUGCUUUCAGGAUGAACUAAAAUUCUUAUCUCCUCUGCAUCCAGCAUACUUGGGCUCGCCUUCCUGACUGCAGUGGCUAGAGUUUCCCAAGCUCUGUGGGGUUAUUUUUGCCUCUGGGUGGUGGUCAUUACUUCCUUCCACAGCCGUUAGGGUCAACCCAGCCACAGAAAAAAAGCAAAUUAGCAAACACCCUCAACAUGGCAGGACUGACCCCCAAACCUACUUUCAUUUUCUUCCGGUCUGGGUUGUGGGUAAUUUCUUGACAACUAUGAGAAAGAAGAUAAUGAAAAAUGAAUAGUUUGUUCAGAGCACUUGUGAAUAGACGUAUAAUCUCCCAGUCUCAGGAAUGUUCUAGGAAUCCCUUACAUCACCUUAAAGGGGCAGAGAAAACAGGUGGAGGUGCUGAGGGCAAGGCUGAUAGUCAGCACCUGUGGGGCUUAGCCUCCUUCUAAAGAAGGCGGCAGCAACCACCCGGGUCACUUUAGCUGGUUCUGAGCUUCUAAAUUCGGCACCGUGAACAGACUUGCUUCCUUUCAGCAAUUGAUCUGAGUAGCAGAAUCCCGUCCUGAUGGUCGGAAUCACAUUUACAGGCUGUGGGGGUGAAGGCCGCGCUAAUUGGCCACUUGCCUCACCACUGGCUUUGAAACAAUCGCUUGUAUUCUCUGCCCGGCAGGAAGCAGCGGGCCCAUCAAGGCUCUGGGCUCCCUCUUUGUCCUGACUUUAUGGCAUUUUAUGCCACAAUAAGAAACACUGUGUACUCCGUGGGAGCCCAUUGUGCCAGGCUGUGAGGAUGUGGGCUCCGGUGCAGAAGGGCUGCUGCUCUUCCCCUGGGAGAAGAGGGACUUUGUGACAGGCUGCAGGACAAGACAAGGGGAGCCGGACACUGUUACUGGGGCAACUGUCUGGCCAGGGUGGAGGCAGCUGUGGCCCCUGGGUCCUUCUCACCCGAAGGCCAGGAUGAAGGCAGGAGAAGGAUGGAAUUUCUUCUAGAGUAGCACCCCUGGUUAUCUGGUAAAUUAUUCAUCAGGACUACCAGCCGCAGCCUGGCUGCCAGACCACCUCAUCCUGCCUCUGGAUUCUGUGCCAGGUGACCACGUCUGCUUAAACCAUCUCUCACGCUCCACCAGGAAGCGCCAUCUUGUUGCAGUCACAAAUAAGGUGACCAGAGCUGCACACGUUGUAUGUACGUGAAUUCCAGUUCCUAAUCACCUUAGCUGCACCCAAAGCGAACCAAACCUCAGACUUCUGAAGCCUUUCUAAGAUGGCUGUGGUACGUAUAUUAACUUGCAGGAAGACCAAGUUAUAUUUACACUGAAAGGUAGCUUGGAAAGUUGUUGGAUGCCAGUGGACUUGCCUGGAAACCACUACUCUUAGCCUUGCAGAGAAAAUCUUCAACAGAAUUUAUUUGCAAGGUCCUGUGAAGCUGAUGGAAGCAGGCAUCCGUACCAGAGGGAAAAAUAGUGGAAAAGUGACUUUCCUGGUGUGGCUUUUCCUCGCAUCAGCGUGGUUUGACCUGAGAACUCGAUAGGUGCUUUGAUUCUGAUUCAGCCAGAGUGAGCCCUAUCCAUGACUCAAGCCACUUCACUGAGUUUGAUGAUGGGGUUUGGGGCCAAAAUGCCAGCCA